AGGAUGAACGCUGGCGGCGUGCCUAAGACAUGCAAGUCGAGUGGGUUUAGGCCCACGGCGAACGGGUGAGUAAUACCUAGGAACUUUUUUCAAGUCGAGGAUAUCCUUCCGAAAGGAAGUGCAAUACUUGAUGUGGACGCAAGUCUAAAGUCGCAAGACGCUUGAAGCAAGGCCUGGGCACCAUCAGCUAGUUGGUAAGGUAAUGGCUUACCAAGGCUUUGACGGUUAGCGGAUCUGAGAGGAUGACCCGCCACACUGGGACUGCGACACGGCCCAGACUCCUACGGGAGGCAGCAGUUUGGAAUUUUGGUCAAUGGGGGAAACCCUGAACCAGCGACGCCGCGUGGACGAAGACGGCCUUCGGGUUGUAAACUGCUUUGCCAGGGGAUAAAAGACCCUUGCGAGGAAAUUGAAGGUACCUGGUGAAUAAGCCACGGCUAACUACGCGCCAGCAGCCGC
rnacentral:rRNA from 1 species